rnacentral:rRNA from 1 species
GGUUAAGUGACUAAGCGUACACGGUGGAUGCCUUGGCAGUCAGAGGCGAUGAAAGACGUAGUAACUUGCGAUAAGCCCAGAUUAGGUAGUAACAACCAUUUGAGUCUGGGAUUUCUGAAUGGGGAAACCCACGUGCAUAAGCACGUAUCCUUACCUGAAUACAUAGGGUAAGGAGGCGAACCGGGGGAACUGAAACAUCUAAGUACCCCGAGGAAAAGAAAUCAACCGAGAUUCCGAAAGUAGCGGCGAGCGAAAUUGGACUAGCCCUUAAGCUUUACACGCGUUAGACGAACGGUCUGGAAAGUCCGACGAUACAGGGUGAUAGUCCCGUAGUUGACGACGUGUGUUCAGUGAAAUCGAGUAGGGCGGGACACGUGAUAUCCUGUCUGAAUAUGGGGGGACCAUCCUCCAAGGCUAAAUACUACUGACUGACCGAUAGUGAACCAGUACCGUGAGGGAAAGGCGAAAAGAACCCCUGUGAGGGGAGUGAAAUAGAACCUGAAACCGUGUACGUACAAGCAGUAGGAGCAGGCUUUGUCCUGUGACUGCGUACCUUUUGUAUAAUGGGUCAGCGACUUAUAUUCAGUGGCAAGGUUAACCAUCUAGGGGAGCCGUAGGGAAACCGAGUCUUAACUGGGCGUUCAGUCUCUGGAUAUAGACCCGAAACCAGGUGAUCUAGCCAUGGGCAGGUUGAAGGUUGAGUAACAUCAACUGGAGGACCGAACCGACUAAUGUUGAAAAAUUAGCGGAUGACUUGUGGCUAGGGGUGAAAGGCCAAUCAAACCUGGAGAUAGCUGGUUCUCCCCGAAAGCUAUUUAGGUAGCGCCUCGGACGAAUACUACUGGGGGUAGAGCACUGUUAAGGCUAGGGGGUCAUCCCGACUUACCAACCCUUUGCAAACUCCGAAUACCAGUAAGUACUAUCCGGGAGACACACGGCGGGUGCUAACGUCCGUCGUGGAGAGGGAAACAACCCAGACCGCCAGCUAAGGUCCCAAAUUACUACUAAGUGGGAAACGAUGUGGGAAGGCUCAGACAGCCAGGAUGUUGGCUUAGAAGCAGCCAUCAUUUAAAGAAAGCGUAAUAGCUCACUGGUCGAGUCGGCCUGCGCGGAAGAUGUAACGGGGCUAAGUAGUAAACCGAAGCUGCGGCAAUAUACUUUUGUAUAUUGGGUAGGGGAGCGUUCUGUAAGCGGUUGAAGGUGUGUGGUAACGCAUGCUGGACGUAUCAGAAGUGCGAAUGCUGACAUGAGUAACGAUAAAGGGGGUGAAAAACCUCCUCGCCGGAAGACCAAGGGUUCCUGUCCAACGUUAAUCGGGGCAGGGUAAGUCGACCCCUAAGGCGAGGCCGAAAGGCGUAGUCGAUGGGAAACGGGUUAAUAUUCCCGUACUUCUUACAAUUGCGAUGGGGGGACGGAGAAGGCUAGGUGGGCCUGGCGACGGUUGUCCAGGUUCAAGUGCGUAGGCUUAAGAGUUAGG